rnacentral:rRNA from 1 species
UACGUAGGGUGCAAGCGUUAAUCGGAAUUACUGGGCGUAAAGCGUGCGCAGGCGGUUUUGUAAGUCUGACGUGAAAGCCCCGGGCUCAACCUGGGAAUUGCGAUGGAGACUGCAAGGCUUGAAUCUGGCAGAGGGGGGUAGAAUUCCACGUGUAGCAGUGAAAUGCGUAGAGAUGUGGAGGAACACCGAUGGUGAAGGCAGCCCCCUGGGUCAAGAUUGACGCUCAUGCACGAAAGCGUGGGGAGCAAACAGG